rnacentral:lncRNA from 1 species
UCGAUUGUUGUUAUUAGGCCAUACCUUGGAUUUGGUUUGACUAUCCCGUGCGAUGCCCUUGUUGCCAUUUUCGUAUCCACAAUUUGGGCGACUUCGGUGUCUUCGGUACUUUCGAUUUGUUCUCCGGUGACUUCCGUUUCUUCUUCAUUUUCUUCGAAGUCGUAGGUAGAGUCAGUUAGUUUCUCAGCUGGAUCAUUCGAACUAUUUUCUUGGCUUUGGGAGACGGAUUCGUGACCGUUCUGUUGCUGUACCGGAUCCACUCGAUCUUGAUUUACUGAUUUUGAUUCC